GAAUUCCGUACAUCUCAUCAUCUCCUCUUCAAUUUCGGAUAGGAGGAGAGCUCCACUUAAGGAAGGGUUUUGCAAAGUCCUUGCUCUUCUCUCUCUUAUCCGAUUUCUGUUUUGUUUUGACUCUUGGUAUCUCUGGGUCUGGAUAUUUCGUGGUGGGACAGCGAAAUUGGCGGGAACUAACGACCGAGUUGUUUGGGUCUGAAUCGAAUUUUGGUGUUCGUUAAUGGCCAAUCCUUCUGGGAACCAUCAAGAACCGAGCCAUGCCUCGUCGUCUUUCAACCCGACUAACGGAAACUCCACUCCGGUGUCAGCCCCCCCUGAGAGUUCGGGUGCCAUGAAGCACAACCCGGGUAUUUCUAUGGAUUGGACCGCAGAGGAGCAGGUCAUUCUUGAUGACGGGCUCGCCAAUUAUGCAACAGAAGCUAACAUAAUCCGGUAUGCAAAGAUAGCUAUGCAGCUACAGAAUAAAACCGUUCGAGAUGUGGCACUGCGUUGCAGAUGGAUGACUAAGAAGGAGAACAGCAAGAGAAGGAAGGAAGAACUUAACUUAGCAAGGAAAAGCAAAGAUAAGAAGGUCUGAUUUGGUAUUAAACAGGAAAGAGUAGUCGAUACUUCAGCAAAGCCAUCACACUUUACAACCCGACCCAAUGUAGCUCCCUAUGUUCCUCCAAUCAUAUCUAUGGACAACGAUGACGGCAUCUCAUACAAAGCUAUUGGUGGGGUUACAGGUGAGCUUCUGGAGCAGAAUGCACAAGCCUUGAAUCAAAUUUCUGCCAAUCUUCAAGCUUUCCAGAUACAGGAGAACAUCAACCUCUUCUGUCAGGCUCGAGAUAACAUCCUCAAAAUUAUGAAUGAUUUGAAUGACAUGCCAGACGUAAUGAAGCAGAUGCCACCACUUCCAGUGAAAGUGAAUGAAGAGCUUGUAAACCAUGUCCUUCCCCCACCUGCACAUCCAAUGCAAUGAUAGUUUGGCAUGAAAUAUGGAGUUGAUGGACCACCUUAGCCAACUCUUAUAGUGCAGGCGAUCUAAUUGUUUAUGAAGGUCU